ensembl:misc_RNA Metazoa_SRP Metazoan signal recognition particle RNA
GCCAGGCACGGUGGCUCAUGCCUGUACUCCCAGCACUUUGGAGGCUGAGAUGGGUGGAUCACCUGAGGUCAGGAGUUCGAGAACAGCCUGGCCAACAGGGUGAAAUCCCAUCUCUA